UACAGAGGUCUCAAGCGUUGUUCGGAUUCAUUGGGCGUAAAGGGUGUCGUAGGUGGCGCCGUAAGUCGGGUGUGAAAUUUCGGAGCUUAACUCCGAAACUGCAUUCGAUACUGGCGUGCUUGAGGACUGGAGAGGAGACUGGAAUUCAUGGUGUAGCAGUGAAAUGCGUAGAGAUCAUGAGGAAGACCAGUGGCGAAGGCGGGUCUCUGGACAGUUCCUGACACUGAGACGAAGGCCAGGGAGGCAAACGGG
rnacentral:rRNA from 1 species